UACGUAGGGUCCGAGCGUUGUCCGGAAUUAUUGGGCGUAAAGAGCUCGUAGGCGGUCCGUUAAGUCGGAAGUGAAAUCUCAAGGCUCAACCUUGAAACCGCUUUCGAUACUGGCGGACUUGAGGCAGGUAGGGGAAGGUGGAAUUCCUGGUGUAGCGGUGAAAUGCGCAGAUAUCAGGAGGAACACCGGUGGCGAAGGCGGCCUUCUGGGCCUGUUCUGACGCUGAGGAGCGAAAGCGUGGGGAGCAAACAGG
rnacentral:rRNA from 1 species